rnacentral:rRNA from 1 species
CCUACGGGUGGCUGCAGUGGGGAAUAUUGGACAAUGGGCGAAAGCCUGAUCCAGCCAUGCCGCGUGUGUGAAGAAGGCCUUCGGGUUGUAAAGCACUUUCAGUGGGGAAGAAAGCCUUGGGGCUAAUACCCUCGAGGAAGGACAUCACCCACAGAAGAAGCACCGGCUAACUCCGUGCCAGCAGCCGCGGUAAUACGGAGGGUGCGAGCGUUAAUCGGAAUUACUGGGCGUAAAGCGCGCGUAGGCGGUCUGAUAAGCCGGUUGUGAAAGCCCCGGGCUCAACCUGGGAACGGCAUCCGGAACUGUCAGGAUAGAGUGCAGGAGAGGAAGGUAGAAUUCCCGGUGUAGCGGUGAAAUGCGUAGAGAUCGGGAGGAAUACCAGUGGCGAAGGCGGCCUUCUGGACUGACACUGACGCUGAGGUGCGAAAGCGUGGGUAGCAAACAGGAUUAGAUACCCUGGUAGUC